rnacentral:rRNA from 1 species
AUUGAACGCUGGCGGCAGGCCUAACACAUGCAAGUCGAGCGGAGCGGCGGACGGGUGAGUAAUGCCUAGGAAUCUGCCUGGUAGUGGGGGAUAACGUCCGGAAACGGGCGCUAAUACCGCAUACUAUCAGAUGAGCCUAGGUCGGAUUAGCUAGUUGGUGGGGUAACGGCUCACCUAGGCGCCGAUCCCUAGCUGGUCUGAGAGGAUGACCAGCCACACGCGAACGAAGACACGGUCCAGACUCCUACGGUAGGCAGCAGGGGGGAAUAUUGCACAAGGGGCGCAAGCCAGAUGCAGCAAUGCCGCGUGUAUGAAGAAGGCCUUCGGGUUGUGAAGUACUUUCAGCGGGGAGGCGUUACCCGCAGAAGAAGCACCGGCUAACUCCGGGCCAGCAGCCGCGGUAAUAC